UUCACAAUGUGAGAAUUCAGAAUUGGUUAUUUUCAUGAUUUCAAUCACUGUUCUUGUAACUUCUCUUUUUGUUGUAAAGUUAAAUACUCAACAUGGAUGUAAUGCAUUCAUUGAUACAUUCAGGUACGUAAUCUGGUAGAAGCAUCAAAGACUUAUGCUACUUAACAUAACAUACUUGACCAUGAUGUUAAAAAUGACACAGUGAGAAAGCCAGGGAGCCUUUCACGUAAUUUACGCAGAGUCAGACAGGGCCUCGACCUCAUCAGAGAAUUAUUUGGACAAUUCCUGGCAACUAAGAAAACCAAUGCUAGCAUCACCACAGGCACUGCCACACACAGGAUUCAUGAAAUCUAACCUUGAGUAGUUGGCUAUUUACACUGAAAUCUAUGAUGCUAGCAUUGCUUUUGUUCUGAAUCUACGUUUCUUUCUUGUCUAUUGGAGACGGGAGACCCUCAAUACUUCAUUAUUGUUGCAGACCACUCAGCAAGGAAGGAAAUGAAAAGGCAAUCAGCUUGGCGCUAGCACCAUACUUGCAAUUUGUCUGGCCAGCAGUUAACAUGAGAAAGAAUCUACAAGUUGUAUGAGUGACAUUCAAGUCUACAAACGGCCUACAUAUUGUUCAAUCUUUUUGCGAGCGCCAUUCUUGUUGCGUCAAAUCCUGGUUGAAGUGAUCUUCGGGCAUUGUUCCAGUUGAUAACAAACAUCCUCAAGUUAGACAGCAGAUGAUACUAAUCUUCAUUGUCCAAGACUAAAAGUACAAGGUGUUUGGGCAUUAAAUUGUUGGAAUUCUUCCCUUUCAUUGGUAUAGUUUGUUUGAACCAUUUCAAAAGAAAAUUAGUGUAGUUUGUUGACAAACGAGGAUGUCAGUUUUCAUCCAAAGGCAUGUUAACACCAGCUGCAGCAAGCAGCAUUAUGCCUUUCUGUAGAACGCAAGUAUUGUAUAUCUGGCGUGAACCAAUUUUAGCAAGUCAUUGUAACAGUUAUCUUGCUUUGAUCUUCC